GAUGAUGAUUCAGGGGAAGAUGUUAAAAAUGAAAUAAUCAAUGUUAUCACUUACAAGGCUGUACGGACUGUUCUUCAACAACUCUAUGAGAUGAACCCCCCACAGUAUACAUGGUUUUACAAUUUUAUAGUAAACCACGUGCCUAACACUGGGAAAAAUUUCCUUCAACAGCUUUUCAAGGAAAAGCGAGAACUUGCUGAGAGAGUGAUGAUUACACGUCUUAGCCUUUACAGCAUAUGGAUGCAGAAAUGUGAUCAUGC
rnacentral:misc_RNA from 1 species